CUCGUUUUUGCUAUUUGCUUGAGAUGUUUCUGACUCUGUUUCGGCCUCCCGAUGACUGGACAAAUUUUAAGUUUCAGCCUUGUCUGAAAAAUACCAAUCUGUUGAUACAUCUAUGCAAAUGUUUCUGAGGGACUAUUUCUUUUUGAGAUACUUUCUUUUGUUUUAUCUUGUAUGCUAGAUCUAAUGCUUAAAGCUGUCCGAUGAUGAUGAAACUAAACACUUUCGUUCUUCUGAUGCGCUAUCUCAUGGCGCGGUGCGGAAGCAAUUUGGAGACCUGAACUGAGGAAAAGCUUGGUCGUGUCCAAUUUUUUGUGUAUUUCAAUUUUUUGCUUGCAUUUUGCGAUUGAGAUAUUGUUUUGUGUUUGUUGCUUCACAACUGGAAGGAUGGCCUGUUGAUAUCAGUUUGGUCAUCCCGUAGAAGGAAGCAUAGACGGACGGAAACACCGGCCAGCAUAUUUUUGUUUCUUGAGAUUCGUAUGUCUCCAUCGUCUGUUUUCCCUUCCAUUCCCGACUUCUUUGUCGCCCGUGCAACCUGUCUUCUCUGCAUCCAUCCCCUGCAUACGGCUCGGAGGUGGGAGGUUGUUGGCUGGUGGCUGAAAUGAAAAUAGAGGAGGGAGGGGCGGUGGAGCUGGUUGAUGGACAUGCGGCGGUGGCGGCAAAGGGGACCAAAGUCUUUAUAUUUUAGGACUUUUGUCCCUUCGCCGCCGCCGCCACCUCCCAUCCAUCCCUCAACUCCGCCGCCUCUCUCUCUUCAAUUUCAGCCCCCAGCCAACAACCUCCUAGUUCCCAACCGUGUGAUCUGGAUAACGCAUUGCAUUUAUUUCGGCGAAAUAAAGCCAGCAAUUUGGUGUGGUGCGGAAGCAAUUUGGAGACCUGAAUUGAGGAAAUGCUUGAUUAUAUCGUUUGUCCAGUUUUGCGAUUGAAAAACUAUUUUAUGUAACUGGAAGGAUGGCCUAUUGAUAACAGUUUGGUCAUCCCGUAGAGGGAAGCAUAGACGGACGGAAACACCGGCCAGCAUUAAACAGCACGACGCUCAAUCAAACUGCGUCGUGUGACCUGUCUUCUGGCACAUCUCAACACAAAUGUGCAUGUUUUUAUUUCUUGAGAUUCAUGCGCCUCCUUCUCCUGUUUUCCCUUCCUUCCCUGACCUUGUCGC
rnacentral:lncRNA from 1 species